rnacentral:misc_RNA from 1 species
AAGUCGUAACAAGGUUUCCGUAGGUGAACCUGCGGAAGGAUCAUUACCGAGAAAGGGUCCGAUUCUUCAGGGCCCGACCUCCAACCCACUGCUCACAUACUCACGUUGCCUCGACGGAACGACGGCCCCCUCGAAAGAGGGGUGCCGCCCCCGGUCCCCACCUGGGGGCUUGGGAGCGUCCGUCGGUGGAAUAUCACCGAAACCCUGAUAAAACGCCCCUCUGAGUCGAAAAAUAAUACUUCAAAA